CCACCCACCAGACGAGACCAUUAAAUUGGGAGAAAGGAAGAAGAAAAACCUCAAGAUUAACAUUUUGUCCGCAAACCCUCCGAACAGAUCAAUCAAUCAAUCAAUCGUUCCGAAUCUCUGCAAAAUCUUUCGGCGAAAUCCAUCCUGAUUGAGCGCUCGCAAUGUGUGGAGGAGCCAUCAUCUCCGACUUCAUCCCCACCGCAAGGUCCCGCCGGCCGACGUCGGACUUCCGGUGGCCCGAUCUGAGGAAGAACAAGAAGUCGUCCGGCUCAGGCAAGCCCAGGCACCCCCGGAGGUCCGACGUCAUCGACCUCGACGAUGACAUCGAGGCCGACUUCCAGGAGUUCAAGGGCGACUCCGAUUUCGACGAGGAUUUCGAUUUCGGGGACGAAGUCGAUGUCAAGCCCUUCGCUUUCUUCGCCGCCCCCAAGUCUCGCCCCUCUACCGGCUCUGUGAAGCCCAAAUCUGUGGAAUUCAAUGGCCAAGCUGAGAAAUCUGCCAAGAGGAAGAGGAAGAACCAGUAUAGGGGGAUUAGGCAGCGUCCGUGGGGUAAAUGGGCUGCUGAAAUACGUGAUCCGAGAAAAGGUGUCCGGGUCUGGCUCGGAACCUUUAACACUGCUGAAGAAGCAGCCAGAGCUUAUGAUGCUGAAGCUCGAAGGAUUCGUGGCAAGAAAGCUAAGGUGAAUUUCCCCGAGGAUGCUCCUAACUCCUCGUCAAAGCGUACAGCUAAGUCAAACCCACCGAAGCCGAUGCCCAAAAUGAAUCUGGACAAUGUUCAGCCGAAUAUGAACCAGAGUUUCAACGGUCUUCUGAACAGUUCAGAUGAUGAUUACUACAACUCUGCGGGUUUCUUGGAGGAAAAGCCCCCAGUGAAUCAGUUUGCGUAUAUGGACUCCUUCAACUCUGGUGGGGCUGAUGAGCUUAAAUCCUUUGCUCCCUCUGAAAAUGCUCCACUGUACUUCAAUUCUGAUCAGGGUAGCAACUCCUUUGACUGCUCCGACUUUGGGUGGGGAGAAAAUGGUUCCAAAACUCCCGAUGUAUCCUCCAUCCUUUCAGCUACUUUGGAAGUAGAUGAGUCUCAGUAUGAGGAAUCCAACCCAAAGAAAAAGCUCAAGCCCAGCUCUGAGGAGGUUGUCCUGGACCAGGAAAGCGCUGCAAAGACUUUGUCUGACGAGCUCUCGGCAUUUGAUUCUCAGAUUAAGUACUUCCAGAUGCCUUACCUUGAGGGAGGCUGGGAUGCUCCGAUUGAAACCUUAUUUAACGGGGACACGACUCAAGAUGGCGGGAAUGCUGUGGACCUCUGGACCUUCGACGACCUGCCUUCGAUGGUGGGGGGUGUCUUCUGAGCUCUCCCGGACUCUUUGUGCUCGCUCGUUUUAUGUAAAUAAGGCUACAUGUUAGGAUGAUGUGAGGACUUUCAUGGGGAAGGCAUCAAACGAUUGAACAUGUUUAAGCCUUUGGGAUGAUGGAGCGUGUUUGUUUUUUUUUUCCUGUCGGAAAUGCUACGAGCAAUGCAAUUGCAAGUAGCCUUUGGUACCUGUUUAGGUUUCAUUACAAGCUGCGAGACAUAAGAUAUAUAAGAUUUUGAACAAAAAGGAAAACUUCUCCUUGUAUUGAUGAUGAUUUGUGUGUGAUGUAAUUGCUGAUUACUUGA